rnacentral:lncRNA from 1 species
UGACAAGUUUCAUAUCGUUUCAUAUGUUUUUGAGGCUGCUGAUGACGAAAAUAGAACCCGUUCGGGCCACCGACCGAAAGUUAAAUCCCAUUGGUGUAGAUUUUGAUGACCAAAUACCAUUUUUUGAGGGGAUCACGACCAUCUCUACGGCCUGCCUAGGGAAGCAGCCUGCCGGAGGCAGGUUAGCGCCGCAGGCCAAGGUAGGUGAAUACACCAGGCGUGGAUGGUCGAAACUGGCGCAGCAUCGCGAAGCCUGUUUCGACCAGACACGGUCUGGCGUACACCUACCUUGUAAAUGUUAUUGAUUUAGAAAUUAGUGUCCCUGAAACAGCACCUUCAAGGAAAAGAAAGCGUUUGCCAAAGGAAAAGGCACGCAAAUACAAUUCAAAUGGACCUGAAAAGCCUGGCCCCAGUCGUGAUGUUGAAGCACUUACUUCUGCUCCUCCAACAAAUCCAACGGCAAACCCAUCUACUGGCAGUGAAAGGCAGAUUCAAGAAACAGUCGCAAGUGCCAGCCCCUCUUUCAUCUCUCCAAAAGAGUUCAGAGGUUUGCCCAAGUUCAAUGAAUCUGACAUCACUGCUCCUAAACGCAAACCUAGAAGAAAAGGAAAGUGCUUUCUCCCUACAGACACUCCUGAAAAAAUUGAAAUAGAGGAGAGACAGAAAGCUAGAGACGAGCAAAUGAGAAAGACUGAAGAAAAUAAAAAGAAGAGAGCGGCAAAAAAGCUUCUGGCAGAGGUAGAAAAAAUGAAGAAAGCUACGGCCAAAAGAGUUUUAAAUUUUUGAUGAAGUGAUCCGGAUGGGGAGUUGGAAACAGUUGAGACUCCGGCUGUAAAGAAAAGAGAGCUACUCGACACUCCCUAUCUAAAGUCGCUUAUCUUGUCCCGGUGCUGCUUAAACUAGCGCAUCUGACCCGCCCGCGGCUCACAUCCGCUCAUCUGCCGCCACCCUGACUCACAACCGCGUAUCUGUAGUCCGCCCUACUCAGAACAGCGCAUCUGCACAGGGCGUCGCAGAAAGUCGCUUAAGUGAAAAACCCGUGCUUUUCACGAGACAAUGUUGAAUAUUUGGGCGUUCAAAUCAAUUAAAUGGCUGAUCUGUUGGUUUUGGCCUUGAUGUCAUCGUGUUCCCUGGUGUUUUAUUAACUAGUCGAGUCGUUCACAAGGCACUGUUGUUCAUGAAAUGAAGGCAGGACGUAAAAAGAAAAGUGAGUAUGUCACAUGCAAUAGGAAACAGUUUUUAUUACAACAUUUCCAAACGAUUUAGUCCUGACUUUUGUUUGUAAAUCAAACUUCCCAUCAUUGUCUUUAAUUCCAGGAUGUUAUUUAGAUGUGGGGAGGUACUUGUGACUCUGGUCGUAGUUCAUAACCUGCUCCAGUUUGGAGAGUUUUUUUCCAAUUUUACUUGCAAAUGGAUUGACAUUAUCUAAGGUAUCGAUGUUCUGUUCCUGUGCAACAAGGUGACCAUUGGGUCUUUAAGUGGACUUCUGUGUUUUGCAAGAAGCAAUUCCCUCUUCCCCUUUGAGUGCAUCACAAGCAUUACAUUUGUUUUAAAAUUUUCAUUCAAGUCAGUGAGUGUAUUGUUCAGUGUGCAUCGAUAGUUGUUAUUUUGAUGUAUCAUGGUUUUGUGUCUAAAUGGUUUCAUAUAAUUUGUUAAGGAUUUGGUAUGUUUUAAAUAAAGAUUUUAUUUGGUCACCAUCAAUCUUCUUUGUUCAUUUAAAUAAAAAUAAUAAAAUCAGCCUUUGAGCUUAUCAGUCAUGAGAAUUACAAUUAGUUAAACUUACGGUGUGGAAACAACUUUCUUGAAACAUUAGAAGAAAUUUUGUUUCAAACAA